GUCUCUGUAGCUCAGCUGGAUAGAGCAACCGCCUCCUAAGCGGUAGGUCAUCAGUUCGACUCUGAUCAGGGACA
rnacentral:tRNA from 4 species